rnacentral:rRNA from 1 species
UAGGGAAUAUUGGACAAUGGGGGCAACCCUGAUCCAGCCAUGCCGCGUGAGUGAAGAAGGCCCUCGGGUUGUAAAGCUCUUUUGUCCGGAAAGAAAAGCAUUCGGUGAAUACCCGGAUGUUCUGACGGUACCGGAAGAAUAAGCACCGGCUAACUUCGUGCCAGCAGCCGCGGUAAUACGAAGGGUGCAAGCGUUACUCGGAAUUACUGGGCGUACAGCGUGCGUAGGUGGUUGUUUAAGUCUGAUGUGAAAGCCCUGGGCUCAACCUGGGAAUGGCAUUGGAAACUGGGCAGCUAGAGUGCGGUAGAGGGUAGUGGAAUUCCCGGUGUAGCAGUGAGAUGCGUAGAGAUCGGGAGGAACAUCUGUGGCGAAGGCGACUGCCUGGACCAGCACUGACACUGAGGCACGAAAGCGUGGGGAGCAAACA